rnacentral:lncRNA from 1 species
CAUCAACAAGGUUAUCACAUUAACCUUGCCUUGUCAAAAAGACAUCAACACUGAUUAUCAAACACGGUCAACAAUUAUCAAGUAUAAACAUAGAAACAUUAUCAUGAUAAUUGGCUUAGAAGUUUUUGCCCAAACCUUCUUUGUACCAAAACAUCAUUAUAGAGAAACUGAAAGAGAAGAAGGUAGGAAGGUAAGAAACCCUCACUAUCAUUUUUUCUAAACACCCACAUAUGAACAAUCCCCCUCCCUUACUUCGAAAGUUUGAAGAUCGUUCAACUUUCUUGUUUUUGAGAUUUUUCCUUGUUCUUUGAAUCCUCCUAGACAUGUCUCUAUCUUUCCGCCUCUUUUCCUAAUUUUUGCACGUCCUCCCCAAAAGCUUUCUUC